rfam:Gossypium arboreum cultivar AKA8401 contig_1133_3, whole genome shotgun sequence.
CUGUUUGCUGUUGGAGCAUCAUCAAGAUUCACAAUUUUAGGGUUCUUUUUUGAUUGAUUUGAUCAAUCAGCCUUUUUAUGAUUGAGAAUCCUGAUGAUGCUGCAGUGGCAAUAAG